CACUGGUAAACUCCCUCGGCAAAUAAUAUGGACGAAGUCCGACGGCGACGAGCUCGAUGUCCGGGCUGCGGAAACGCUCUUUAACGGUGACUAGCCCGGGGUGACACCACCUGUUGUUCACGAGCACGGCGAGGCCCCCUCCUUUCUUCUUGCCGGUCGCGGUGGUGUCUCUGUUGGCUCGAACCGUCUGGAAGUCGGGAAUGGUGACGUUGGAGUCCGGUGUUAUCUGCUCGUGCAGCCACGUUUCCGUGAAACACACAAUACUGGACUCCCUGUACUCCCUCUGUGUCCUGAUCAAGGGGCAACAUCCUGGGCUGAGCGAUGAGGCCGAUACGGAAGUGUAAAAAGCUGCAGUUCACUGGGUGGCCACUAGAGGCUGGCUCCAAGAAACAGAAAGUCCCAUUGACUCCAAUGUUAAAAUGCCCAACUUUAGAGCAGAAUUAAACCUGUUUACAGCAUGGUUCAACCUUUGGUUUUAGUCUCAAUCGCGAGGUUAUUUAUUCAUGACAACUCUGAGGGGGGUGAAUUUUUUUCUUACUCUCCCGUUUAAGCGAUAUUGAGGUUUAAAAUUACGCAUAAUUAGGGGCGUGGUCUAUUGAUUGACACCUGGGCACAGGCUCCGAUGCGGGCACAGCUUGUCACUAGCCUCGUUAGCUCCCCUCAAGCCACCUGCAAGCUGCUCGGUCCACUCGUAGCUUCAUGUCGGCGGAUCCCCGUCGAUUCACUCGACACAAACCAUGGCUGGCUGUGCAGUUCAUUGAACUAACAGACCGUCUCACAGCUCUGUUGUCAAGUUCUUCCGUUUUCCUCUAGGUGAUCCUGAGAGGCUAGACCUGUGGGUGAUCAACAUGAAGAGACAGAACUGGAUUCCGAGCCUCUGCAGUCAACACUUGAGAGACAACACUUGAGCAAUGACAAAAGGAUACACAGAAAUGUUUUAAUAACUUCUGAGAAAUCAAGCAACUUGAUUGUUACAUAGCAACUACAAUUUUAGCAUGAACUGUGUACUGUACAUUUCUACUCUAUUUACAAUGAAUUUUGUAAAAUCAGCGUAUCACAUAUCGGUGUGUUUUCGAGUUUUCCUCCAGGUGACUCAGACAGCCUGCACCAGUGGAUGUCCAACAUGAGGAGACAGAACAGGACUCCAACAAGACUGAACACUAAGUUUCAUCACCUAUGCACUGACUCCAGGAGCAGACCUGUUUUCAUACCUUACAAACAAUCAAAGCAAAGGGACGGACGAGCCUGAAGGACUCAGCUGUGCUGACGGUGUUCUGUCUCUUAUGGGGAAUUAGAAAAAUAAAGCACUGGGUUUUUAUCUAAAUUGUAUCAAAUCAGAUUGUAAAAGAUAAUAAUUUUUUUAACCAACCAUAAUGAAUAUAGAAAUUAAAUCUAUUAUCCAUGAUACAUAGCAAUGAUUGCCAACUCUAGACAGUUGCAGGCCAUCUUUAGUUGAGGGAGAAACGUGAAGUGUUGGGCCGAUGAAGCUUGUGCAGGUCGUCCUCGUGAUGACCAGCCUGAAGCUGCCGAUCUCCACCAUGUUGCUGCUGAGGACAGAUCCGGUGCUGCAGUGCUUCAUCUAAGAAAAAGAAGAAACUCAUUAUAGAAUAAUGUCUUAUGUUGUGUAUGUUCCAGCAAAGACUGGUUCUUACAGUUUAUUCUGUGUUCAGCACCACAGAUUUCAGACAGAACCGAUGUACUGGGCUCUGGGUUUGUACCCUCAUAGUUGAACCACAUAUUGUAAGUAAGUUUGGAUCAAAGUGUCAGCCAAAUGAAAUGUAAUGUACUGACAGAAAUAAAACAUAGUACAAAUAGAUAAAAUGUAUUUCUACCUC